rnacentral:lncRNA from 1 species
CCUUUAUAAUUCUGAUUUUCAUUACCAUGUUUUGUCUUCCUUUUAGAUGAUUCACAUCAUUCCAAAAGGAGAUACAUCAAGUCAUUAGAAAAGUGGCAGGGGAGUGGGAUUGUUUAAAGAUGCAUCUAGUUCCCCUAAUCAUCUGGUUGUUGGACUUAAUCUUUGAUCACUGAGGUUCAUAUUGCAGUUUGUGUGGAGAUGGACACAGGUGAAUCUGAAGCAUUGGUGUCUCAGAGAAGAAGAAACUGACAGAAAAGGUUUAUCUCAAGAGCAUACAGAGUUACAUCAAGCAAAAAUAAGGCUGAAAGAGCCAAAUUCUGAGAGCAGUAAUGCCUACAUUCUAAUCCAAAAGGGAACUUCUGUUAGACAUUUUUCUUCCAUCAGUAUCAUUUUUCCACGCAUGAAACGAACUAUUACAUUUUUGGAAUGA